GUGCUCAUUUUGGUAGCACAUAUACUAAAAUUGGAAUGAUAUAGAGAUUAGCAUGGGCCGUGUGCAAGGGUGACAAGCAAAUUUGUGAAGUGUUCCACAUUUAA